GGAGUUAGCCGGUGCUUCUUCUGUGAGUGAUGUCCUUCCUGCCGGCUAUUAACCCGCAGGCCUUCUUCCUCACUGAAAGUGCUUUACAACCCGAAGGCCUUCUUCACACACGCGGCAUGGCUGGAUCAGGGUUGCCCCCAUUGUCCAAUAUUCCCCACUGCUGCCUCCCGUAGGAGUCUGGGCCGUGUCUCAGUCCCAGUGUGGCUGAUCAUCCUCUCAGACCAGCUACGGAUCGUCGCCUUGGUGAGCCGUUACCUCACCAACCAGCUAAUCCGACAUAGGCUCAUCCGAUAGCGCGAGGCCCGAAGGUCCCCCGCUUUCCCCCGUAGGGCGUAUGCGGUAUUAGCCUGGGUUUCCCCAGGUUAUCCCCCACUACCGGGCAGAUUCCUAUGCAUUACUCACCCGUCCGCCGCUCGCCACCAGGGAGCAAGCUCCCGUGCUGCCGCUCGACUUGCAUGUGUUAGGUCCGUCGCCGCCACGCGUUCAAUCUGAGCCAUGAUACAACUACUGA
rnacentral:rRNA from 1 species